UACGUAGGGUGACCAGCGUUGUCCGGAUUUACUGGGCGUAAAGAGCGCGCAGGCGGUCGUUCAAGUCGAGUGUGAAAGCCCCCGGCUCAACUGGGGAGGGUCACUUGAUACUGAUCGACUCGAAGGCAGGAGAGGGAAGCGGAAUUCCCGGUGUAGUGGUGAAAUGCGUAGAUAUCGGGAGGAACACCAGUGGCGAAGGCGGCUUCCUGGCCUGUUCUUGACGCUGAGGCGCGAAAGCUAGGGUAGCAAACGGG
rnacentral:rRNA from 1 species